CCACUGAACCAUGUCCCCAGGCACCACGUCCAACCUUUCGUGCACGCAUUUCCCCCUGCCCAUACCUGUGAGGAGCACCAGACAUUCCUCCAGUACCUCUCACUGGGGAUUGUGUAGGCUUCUUUCAGGUUACAGAUGCUGCAUGGGGGGAGCAGAAGCAUGAAACCCAUCACCGCCCAUUCUUGCCCGCUUCACUAAAAGGUUUUUCCAAGCACCUGUGGGUAGAUGUUGCUGCUCACAGGACCUGAAUAGGCAGGACAGACAAGACCCCCAGCACACACAGACCUGUUUAAAACAUCUAUUUACCUUUGUGGAGAACGUGCUGAGGCUUUUGAGAAUGGAUGAGGGAAGGUAAAACCUGCUUCUAAAGGAAGAUCAGUAGCUAGACACCAAGUACCUCCCUACUUCCAAAGCAUACAAAGAUGAACAUUUUUGAUAUGUGUAUGCAUAUCUUUUGUCAAAGGAGACAUAUAUCAGACUUAUGAGAGAGAGUUGAGGGGUUUUUUGAGCUACCUUCAACCCAGUCUUUUACCUCACUCUUCAUUUCUGACUUCAUUGCAAAUCCAUUAUGGAUAAGGAAAGCAGCCUUAAAACCUAAUUAAGAGCUGGAGUCCUGAGCUCGCAGCCUUGCAGCUAUGAAACAAUGACCUCAGCGCAAGCAAUAAGAUAGGAGGUAGAGUAAUCCCUAUUUAAGCAGGAAGCUGGCAAAUAAUGCUUUUUAAAUCAUUUAAAUGUGCAGCAUGCUGAGCUGACGGUGUUUGAGGCUGGAGGGGAGCUGAAGUAGCCAUGCUAAGAGCUUUAUCUGCUCCCCGGGGCUGGAGAGGCACCCUGCAAGCAGAGGUGCUGGGAGCCAGAGGAGCACAGUGUCUUCACACACAAUUUUUUGUCU